rnacentral:rRNA from 1 species
GUGAGGAAUAUUGGUCAAUGGGCGAAAGCCUGAACCAGCCAAGUAGCGUGCAGGAUGACGGCCCUAUGGGUUGUAAACUGCUUUUAUAGGGGAAUAAAGUUAUCCACGUGUGGAUAUUUGCAUGUACCCUAUGAAUAAGGACCGGCUAAUUCCGUGCCAGCAGCCGCGGUAAUACGGAAGGUCCGGGCGUUAUCCGGAUUUAUUGGGUUUAAAGGGAGCGUAGGCGGUAUAUUAAGCGUGUUGUGAAAUGUAGGUGCUCAACAUCUGACUUGCAGCGCGAACUGGUUUACUUGAGUACGCACAACGUAGGCGGAAUUCGUCGUGUAGCGGUGAAAUGCAUAGAUAUGACGAAGAACUCCGAUUGCGAAGGCAGCUUACGGGAGCGCAACUGACGCUGAAGCUCGAAAGUGCGGGUAUCGAACAGG